GUCCCCGUAGUUAAACGGAUAUAACAAGCCCUCCUAAGGGCUAGUUACUGGUUCGAUUCCAGUCGGGGACACCA
rnacentral:tRNA from 2 species